UUUAUCUUCUUGCCUUUGGUCUUGCGUUGUGGUUGCGGUGUUGGUUCAAGCAAGCUUUAACUGGUCUAGUUUGCAAGAGCUUUGAGUGCAAUUCCCGAUACAAACACCCCUCUCCUCCCGGUGUGGCCUCGUCAGCUUCUUUCCUGGCAAAUACUUGAACAAUGUUUGGAAUAUUAUUUGACAAGCAAGGAGGAGAGAAUUAUUUUUACUGCUGUCAGCACGCGAGCAGUGGCAAAUAACUCAAGCUGUCUUCUGGAGCUGUGGCACUAGGCUUGUGGGCCGUCGUAUUUGCCCAUACCAGAGAAACUCGCGGAAUACGUUAUGUGCUGACGACCUCUGUUCUACUGCUCAAGGCCAACUCUUGACUCCUUUCCAAGUACGAUGCCACUUGGGCUUAGCGGUCCCUGCAUAAAGUGGAAUCCUGUCCGUAUUAGACAAAUUUUCAUGCACGGAUGGGCUGCCAUAGAAAACUCACCGCAGCAAGCGGAAUACUGUCGAACGUGGAAAGCAGAACGGAUUUCAUGCACAGGAAACAGUGAACGGGGCAUUCAAAUUUAUGAGAUGGUUGCUGAUAAGCUAAUUGUACUCUGACACUUCUUGUAUGGGAGUACGCCAUAGAUGGAAACAUAUGCUUUGCAAGAUACUGUCUUCGACGGGAGGAGUACUCUCUGAGUUAUUGCCGGCUGAGCUAAACUAUGGCAGAGGCUGUACAAACUUCUACAAGGUGGUGUGGAAGUGAGACAUCAUUGUAGUAAUGCUAGAGCUAUGCUAUAUUUGAAAAUGUCUUAUAUUAUUUUCUUUAGUUUAUCACUUAAUAACCACUGUAGGAGGUGCUCCAUUUACGCUGCAAGUACCAUAGGGAAAGUGUGCUCAGGAUGGGGAAAGUGUGCUAAUGGUAGGGAAAGGGUAGAAAAUGCUACUGCUGCAGGGACAUUACUAAGUAAAUUCUCCAUGUUCAGUAAACAAAUAGGCCCACCAGUGCAGAUAGACCACACUAGAGCAGAGAGACCACACUAGAGCGGAGAGACCACACUAGGGCAGAGAGACCACACUAGAGUGGAGAGACCACACUAGAGCGGAGAGACCACACUAGGGCAGAGAGACCACACUAGGGCAGAGAGACCACACUAGAGCGGAGAGACCACACUAGGGCAGAGAGACCACACUAGGGCAGAGAGACCACACUAGGGCAGAGAGACCACACUAGAGCGGAGAGACCACACUAGAGCGGAGAGACCACACUAGGGCAGAGAGAUCACACUAGAGCGGAGAGACCACACUAGAGCGGAGAGACCACACUACAGCCUGGGAACAUGCGCAUUGAACUAUGGCGAUCAGGUUGAUCCCACAUUCUUCAGUGCACGCAUGCCCCUGUUUUACUCAAGUCGGUACAAACUAACUCUGAGUCACAAGAAAGAAUUCACUUUGUCAGCCAGGCCGGAUG